rnacentral:tRNA from 1 species
ACCUGGCUGGCUCAGUCAGUAGAGCAUAGGACUCUCAAUCUCAGAGUUGUGAGUUCAAGCCUCAUGUUGGGCA